UCGGAAUUACUGGGCGUAAAGCGUGCGUAGGUGGUUGUUCAAGUCUGUCGUGAAAGCCCUGGGCUCAACCUGGGAAUGGCGAUGGAAACUGGCAAGCUAGAGUGUGGCAGAGGGUAGUGGAAUUCCUGGUGUAGCAGUGAAAUGCGUAGAGAUCAGGAGGAACAUCCGUGGCGAAGGCGACUGCCUGGGCCAACACUGACACUGAGGCACGAAAGCGUGGGGAGCAAACAGG
rnacentral:rRNA from 1 species